rnacentral:tRNA from 1 species
CAAGCACUAGCUCAAUUGGCAGAGCAAUCGUUUCUGGAACGAUAGGUCGCCGGAUCGAAUCCGGCGUGCUACC